rnacentral:rRNA from 1 species
CCUACGGGGGGCUGCAGUGGGGAAUAUUGGACAAUGGGGGGAACCCUGAUCCAGCCAUGCCGCGUGUGUGAAGAAGGCCCUCGGGUUGUAAAGCACUUUCAGUGAGGAAGAACGCCUGGUGGUUAAUACCCAUCAGGAAAGACAUCACUCACAGAAGAAGCACCGGCUAACUCCGUGCCAGCAGCCGCGGUAAUACGGAGGGUGCGAGCGUUAAUCGGAAUUACUGGGCGUAAAGCGCGCGUAGGUGGCUUGAUAAGCCGGUUGUGAAAGCCCCGGGCUCAACCUGGGAACGGCAUCCGGAACUGUCAAGCUAGAGUGCAGGAGAGGAAGGUAGAACUCCCGGUGUAGCGGUGAAAUGCGUAGAGAUCUGGAGGAAUACCAGUGGCGAAGGCGGCCUUCUGGACUGACACUGACACUGAGGUGCGAAAGCGUGGGUAGCAAACAGGAUUAGAUACCCUAGUAGUC